rnacentral:lncRNA from 1 species
CCUCAGGAAAGGAAACAGGACUGAACCUGCCAGCCCCAACAUUGCAUCUUCUCUCCAUUCAUCAGGGCUGAUCAGAGGUGAAACAUCAGUUUUUUCAGAUAGCUGAAAUUCUGCUCUGCAGGAAGUGUUAAACCAGAUCAGUCUUGUUUUGCUUCACCUGAACAACAUGAGCUUGAAAGAAAAAGCACACUCAC